rnacentral:rRNA from 1 species
GACGAACGCUGGCGGCGUGCCUAAUACGUGCAAGUCGAGCGCAGGAAAUCAUCCGAACCCUUCGGGGGGACGUUGAUGGAAUGAGCGGCGGACGGGUGAGUAACACGUAAAGAACCUGCCCUCAGGUCUGGGAUAACCACGAGAAAUCGGGGCUAAUACCGGAUGGGUCAUCGGACCGCAUGGUCCGAGGAUGAAAGGCGCUUCGGCGUCGCCUGGGGAUGGCUUUGCGGUGCAUUAGCUAGUUGGUGGGGUAAUGGCCCACCAAGGCGACGAUGCAUGGCCGACCUGGGAGGUGGAUCGGCCACACUGGGACUGAGACACGGCCCAGACUCCUACGGGAGGCAGCAGUAGGGAAUCUUCCACAAUGGACGAAAGUCUGAUGGAGCAACGCCGCGUGAACGAUGAAGGCCUUCGGGUCGUAAAGUUCUGUUGUAAGGGAAGAACGAGUGCCGCAGGCAAUGGCGGCACCUUGACGGUACCUUGCGAGAAAGCCACGGCUAACUACGUGCCAGCCGCCGCAGUAA